UACGGGGGGGGCAAGCGUUGUUCGGAAUUACUGGGCGUAAAGGGCUCGUAGGCGGCCAACUAAGUCAGACGUGAAAUCCCUCGGCUUAACCGGGGAACUGCGUCUGAUACUGGAUGGCUUGAGAUUGGGAGAGGGAUGCGGAAUUCCUGGUGUAGCGGUGAAAUGCGCAGAUAUCAGGAGGAACACCAGUGGCGAAGGCGGUGCUCUGGGCCGGAACUGACGCUGAGGAGCGAAAGCGUGGGGAGCAAACAGG
rnacentral:rRNA from 1 species